rnacentral:rRNA from 1 species
CCUACGAGGGGCUGCAGUGAGGAAUAUUGGUCAAUGGGCGCGAGCCUGAACCAGCCAAGUAGCGUGAAGGAUGAAUGCCCUACGGGUUGUAAACUUCUUUUAUAAAGGAAUAAAGUGAGGCACGUGUGCCUUUUUGUAUGUACUUUAUGAAUAAGGAUCGGCUAACUCCGUGCCAGCAGCCGCGGUAAUACGGAGGAUCCGAGCGUUAUCCGGCUUUAUUGGGUUUAAAGGGAGCGUUGUUGGGUUGUUAAGUCAGUGGUGAAAGUUUGCGGCUCAACCGUAAAAUUGCAAUUGAUACUGGCAGUCUUGAGUACAGUUGAGGUAGGCGGAAUUCGUGGUGUAGCGGUGAAAUGCUUAGAUAUCACGAAGAACUCCGAUUGCGAAGGCAGCUUACUAAACUGCCACUGACAUUGAUGCUCGAAAGUGUGGGUAUCAAACAGGAUUAGAUACCCCAGUAGUC